rnacentral:rRNA from 1 species
AGUGAACGCUGGCGGCAGGCCUAAUACAUGCAAGUCGAACGGCAGCACAGUGGAGCUUGCUCCAUGGGUGGCGAGUGGCGGACGGGUGAGGAAUACAUGGGAAUCUGCCCAGUCGUGGGGAUAACGUAUGGAAACGUACGCUAAUACCGCAUGCGCCCUUCGGGGGAAAGUCGGGGACCGCAAGGCCUGACGCGAUUGGAUGAGCCCAUGUUCGAUUAGCUAGUUGGCGGGUAACGGCCCACCAAGGCGACGAUCGAUAGCUGGUCUGAGAGGAUGAUCAGCCACACUGGAACUGAGACACGGUCCAGACUCCUACGGGAGGCAGCAGUAGGGAAUAUUGGACAAUGGGCGCAAGCCUGAUCCAGCCAUGCCGCGUGAGUGAAGAAGGCCCUCGGGUUGUAAAGCUCUUUGUUUGGGGAAGAAAAGCAGUUGGUAAUACCCGAUUGUUCUGACGGUACCCAAAGAAUAAGCACCGGCUAACUUCGUGCCAGCAGCCG